GGAUGUGAAGAUGAUCUGGCUUUGCCUGUCACCCCAUUGAUCAGCAGGGUUAAUCUGGCUGAUCUAGCUGGCUAGGAGGCUGCCCCCUUCCUCCCUGUUCUCUCCUGGUAUGUCUCUUCUGAAGCUGUGUGCCCGGUGGAGGAGGAAACUUCCCCCAUAGAGGAGGACCAGUCUUCCGCCAAGGGGGUGGGAGGAGCUGACUCUCUGCUAGACCCUCCCGAUGACCAGCCCUCAGGGCCCAUUUAUAUGCAAAGCACAGCCAAGCUUCCAAGACUCCAGACACCUCCAGAAGCAGCACUGCAGGUGGCAGCCUGCAUAUCU
rnacentral:snRNA from 1 species